GCUGGGCGUGGUGGCGCAUGCCUGUAAUCCCAGCUACUCAGGAGGCUGAGGCAGGAGAAUCGUUUGAACCCGGGAGGCAGAGGUUGUGGUGAGCUGAGAUCGCGUCACUGCACUCCAACCUGGGUGACAGAGCGAGACUCCGUCUCAA
rfam:Pan troglodytes isolate Yerkes chimp pedigree #C0471 (Clint) chromosome 1, whole genome shotgun sequence.